rnacentral:siRNA from 1 species
UAAAGCUUAGGUGGUGUUAUUCA